rnacentral:rRNA from 1 species
AUUGAACGCUGGCGGCAGGCUUAACACAUGCAAGUCGAGCGGUAGAGGGGAGCUUGCUUCCCUUGAGAGCGGCGGACGGGUGAGUAAUGCCUAGGAAUCUGCCUGGUAGUGGGGGACAACGUUCGGAAACGGACGCUAAUACCGCAUACGUCCUACGGGAGAAAGUGGGGGAUCUUCGGACCUCACGCUAUCAGGUGAGCCUAGGUCGGAUUAGCUAGUUGGUAGGGUAAAGGCCUACCAUGGCGACGAUCCGUAACUGGUCUGAGAGGAUGAUCAGUCACACUGGAACUGAGACACGGUCCAGACUCCUACGGGAGGCAGCAGUGGGGAAUAUUGGACAAUGGGCGCAAGCCUGAUCCAGCCAUGCCGCGUGUGUGAAGAAGGUCUUCGGAUUGUAAAGCACUUUAAGUUGGGAGGAAGUUCAGUAAGUUAGUACCUUGUUGAAUUGACGUUACCGACAGAAUAAGCACCGGCUAACUCUGUGCCAGCCGCCGCAGUAACAC